GGGGGGCGAGGUGCACGGCGGCUGCACUGCGUGCGGCCAGAGAGAGAGCCGGGAGGAAUAAGCGAAGGAAGAGGUGGCGGGAUCCUGCGGGGCUGGAUUGGAGCCCCGGUGGUGCUACUGCUGCCGUUGGACGCCGGCCGAAGGGACAAGUCCCUAGGUAAGGAAACAACAUGUGUUGCAUCGGCACAUUUGAUGCAGAGUAGCUACUAGAAGGACGGGGUUCAAGUUGUUGGGCCGGUGGCAGGGGCAGCAUGAUGUUUUCGUCAGUUGUUUUCAGAUCUUCAAUAAGGAUCAUCAAGCCCUCUGUUUUUUAUAUGAAGAAUAGAUAUUGUAAUUGUGCCUCCAUUACGUCUAAAAGUCAGGUAUCGGAAAACUGUCAUUGGCAUAUCUCUGUCAUGAUGGAAGAUUGGUUAGACAGAAAAAGGACCUCUGGUUAUGUAUGACAUGAUGCGAGGCACAUGCAACAAGAAUUGACAUCCUCUAAUGCUAACUGUUGACCAUUCUUCUCUGAAGUAUCAGAGGUGUGGAUUGGAAUCAGUUUUUUUUGCUGCACCCCCAUUCCGACGAGGUCACGCACACAUACCACCGGGAAUCCCACGAACCCUAUGUUCGAGCGCGAGCGACGGCAAUAGCAUCUGCAAGUACUUGACCAACACGCUACCCGGGUGUGGUAUCCACUAUUGAGGCCAAGCAACCUAGCUCGGUCAUCCUUAAGUGUGCUUGUGUCCACCACCUGAUGAAGAACGGGAGAAGAUUGCUGACUUUGUGCCUAAUGAUGGUUGCCUGAACUUCGUAGAGCAAAUUGACGAGGUGUUGAUUGCUGAAUUUGGUCUUAAGAGGCACGUCGUGGGAGAUAUCCCUUGUGGCAGGUUCAAAGUUGUGAUGGUAUCUGGUGUCUCCCAGCGAGAUUUGUUCCUUCUCUUAACAGUUACUAUUAAGAACAAAUUUAUGUUUCCAGCAAAAAAGUUGGCCGGCCCCAGCAAAAAAAAAAGAACAGUUCCAGCAAAAAAAGAUCGUCGCCGUGGUCACAGGUGUCAACAAGCAGUCUUCGGAAUCAUCAAUAAGCCAACAGCGAGAAAUAAGUUUAAGAAUUGAGUUCCCUUAACAGGGAAAUAAGGAAGGGAAGAAACAAACAGGGAACAAUCAGAUGAAGCAUCAAGGAAAAUGGAUUGAACAAUCAGAUGAAGCAUCCAGCUCGAGGAGAAGCAUGGUCUGCAAGGAGACCAAUCAUCUUGAGGUGGUUCUUUCAGCUACUGCAUGUUCCAUUACGGAGAAGGGUACUUAGUCGAUCUUAGGAGCCAGACUCUGCUCUCCUUGCAGGGAGAAUUUCAACAAAUGGUACUAUUACUCUCCCAACAAUUCUUUUAUCACUACAAAAUGUGUAGGAACCUUAUUUUUCCCUGAGAUACUGUAAUUGAGGAACCGAGAGCCGCGACGGAACAUUGUAUUUUGCACUACAUCCUGUAUUUGCUUUGUGGGAAGCUGGCUUGAGGACAAAUAUGUCAGCUCCAUUUUCGCUGUGAGUGAUUCUUCAUAUGACGGUAGUGUUGCUUGUGUUCA